rnacentral:tRNA from 1 species
UCCUUGGUGGUCCAGUGGUUAGGAUACCACGCUUUCAUUGCCGAGGGCCCAGGUUCGAUCCCUGGUUGGGGAA